UACGUAGGGUGCAAGCGUUGUCCGGAAUUAUUGGGCGUAAAGAGCUUGUAGGCGGUUUGUCGCGUCUGCUGUGAAAUUUCGGGGCUCAACCCCGAACUUGCAGUGGGUACGGGCAGACUAGAGUGUGGUAGGGGAGACUGGAAUUCCUGGUGUAGCGGUGAAAUGCGCAGAUAUCAGGAGGAACACCGAUGGCGAAGGCAGGUCUCUGGGCCAUAACUGACGCUGAGGUGCGAAAGCGUGGGGGGAGCAAACAGG
rnacentral:rRNA from 1 species